UUGGACAGCAUACACUCAAAGCCUGAUCGCCUAAGUCCUGUGGAUACGGUGUUCAGGCCGCAGCCUCGAGCUGCCAGGGUGCAGAAAGAAAUGACUGCAUCUCCCGUAUUUGGAAAGGUGUUCAGGUGUCACAAUU
rnacentral:ncRNA from 2 species